ACUACCUCAAAACUAAAGGAGAAGUAAGUGUUUACCCACAGCAUGACAGGAUGGCAAAGCCUCUUAGGAGCAGAAAUUGUCUCACUUGUUACUUUUAUCUUCCUAGCUUUUUUUCCCCCCCAUCUCAGGAUGUUGUCUGAGGAGUGUAAAUGGAGCUAGCUGUAUGUAGGAUUUAUGAUGAAAUGAAUCAAAGGUAAAGACAAGACUAAUCUGAGGCUACAAUUGUGACAUGGUGUUUUCUUGGCUGAAACUGAUGGGUUUGUGUUCCACAAGUUUGGAUGAUUGUCCUCAGCAAAUGUAGUUGAUCUUUUUAUUUUUACCUUAUUUCCUACUCGACUAGUACAUCUGUAAUUCAGUGUACAAAGCUUAUGUUCAUGUAACUCAUUCAUAGUAUCUUCAAACCAUAGGUCCUCUACUAUACCAUUUUGAAAAUCUGGCAAAUGAACUUUCUAUAGAAUUGAGCUAUGAGGAUAUUAAAAAUGUUGUUCUGCAGUAUGGAUUCCAACUGGAGGUGGAAAAAGAAUCUGUAUUGUCAACAUAUACUGUGAAUGAUCUCUCCAUGAUGAAAUACUACUAUGAAUGUGUCUUGUUUGUAGUCCGGAAGCCACAGUAAUGGUCUUAAGUGAUAUUACCCAGAAAAAAGUUUAAUAUGAGCAAAUACUGAAAUAAACAACUCACAGUCAACUAUCAGUGACAGCAGGACACAACCUCAAAUCAGUGGUGCCUUCUUAUUCCUAACAAAAAUUUAGAAAUAGUGUCUAUUUUCUUAAUAAUAUCUAUUGCUUUUUUCAGAAAUACACUAUACGAUGCAGAUUUGUACUGCACAAGAAAAAUAACAGAGAAAAUGUCUCCCGUGCAGAUAUAUAAUGGAGGAAAUAUCUUCAAGUACUUUUUUCUUUGAAGCCCAGAAUUGUCUUUCUUUAAGAAAAUAAACCUAAACUCCCAUCUUCAUGAAGCUGUUGCAAGUCUGCCAUAUUAAUGACCGAUAGUGCUAAAGUCCACACUAAUCUCCUUUUGAGGUUUUACGUUGCCCGUAUUUCUUUUAGAAGAGUCUAAGGAUCCUCUGUCAUAUUCAGCAUCUGGAACUGGAACUUUGUUUUCAUUGGACCUAAAUAACCUAUACUUAAAGAACUUUGAAACUGUU